rnacentral:piRNA from 1 species
UACAAUGCGUGUCAGCAUGUCAGCGAGCA